GACAGAGGGUGCAAACGUUGUUCGGAAUUACUGGGCGUAAAGCGCACGUAGGCGGCUUUCUAAGUCAGGGGUGAAAUCCUGGAGCUCAACUCCAGAACUGCCUUUGAUACUGGAGAGCUUGAGUCCGGGAGAGGUGAGUGGAACUCCGAGUGUAGAGGUGAAAUUCGUAGAUAUUCGGAAGAACACCAGUGGCGAAGGCGGCUCACUGGCCCGGUACUGACGCUGAGGUGCGAAAGCGUGGGGAGCAAACAGG
rnacentral:rRNA from 1 species